CAUUUUAUCAGUCACGAAUUUACGUAAACAAUAUAUUCCUGAAUGUUACCUCUCCAAGUCACCUACUGUAGCAUUUAAACAAAUCCUGUCUACUUAUGACAACUGUAUUAACU